rnacentral:pre_miRNA from 1 species
AGUAGCGAAAAAUUUCCAUUUGAAGCAGGUUUUGAAUUAGCUUAAUUUACUCUAGGGUAAAUUAAGCUAAUUCGAAACCUGCUCCAAAUGGAAAUUUUUCGCUAC